GAUGAACGCUGGCGGCGUGCUUAACACAUGCAAGUCGAGCGGACAGACGCAAACUUGCUUGGGUACUCGAUUGGCGAACAGGGGAGUGUAACAUGGGGGAUCUCCCCUGCACUGAGGGGGAAGCCUUGGAAACUCGGGCUAUUACCGGGGAGAACAUCAUGAUGGGCGGGGUUGUGGAAAGUUAGUCGGUUUUGGUUGAACUCGCGGCCUAUCAGCUAGUUGGUGAGGUAGUUGGUUACGAAGCCGUCGACGGGUAGCCGGCCUGAGAGGGUAUACGGCGACCAGGGGCCUGAGAUACGGCCCAGACGGGUACGGGAGGCAGCAGUGGGGAGUAUUGCAGAAUGGGGGCAAGCCUGAGGUAGCGAUGUCGGGUUGGGGAUGCCGGCUUUCGGGUUGUAAACUCCUUUCGCUAGGGACGAAGAGGAAGUGACGGUACCUGGAGAAGAAGCACCGGCUAACUACGUG
rnacentral:rRNA from 1 species